rnacentral:rRNA from 1 species
CCUACGGGAGGCAGCAGUCGAGAAUCAUUCACAAUGGGGGAAACCCUGAUGGUGCGACGCCGCGUGGGGGAAUGAAGGUCUUCGGAUUGUAAACCCCUGUCAUGUGGGAGCAAAUUAAAAAGAUAGUACCACAAGAGGAAGAGACGGCUAACUCUGUGCCAGCAGCCGCGGUAAUACAGAGGUCUCAAGCGUUGUUCGGAAUCACUGGGCGUAAAGCGUGCGUAGGCUGUUUCGUAAGUCGUGUGUGAAAGGCGCGGGCUCAACCCGCGGACUGCACAUGAUACUGCGAGACUAGAGUGAUGGAGGGGGAACCGGAAUGCUCGGUGUAGCAGUGAAAUGCGUAGAUAUCGAGAGGAACACUCGUGGCGAAGGCGGGUUCCUGGACAUUAACUGACGCUGAGGCACGAAGGCCAGGGGAGCGAAAGGGAUUAGAUACCCUUGUAGUC